UACGUAGGUGGCAAGCGUUGUCCGGAAUUAUUGGGCGUAAAGCGCGCGCAGGCGGUCCUUUUAAGUCUGAUGUGAAAGCCCACGGCUCAACCGUGGAGGGUCAUUGGAAACUGGGGGACUUGAGUGCAGGAGAGAAGAGUGGAAUUCCACGUGUAGCGGUGAAAUGCGUAGAGAAUGUGGAGGAACACCAGUGGCGAAGGCGAACUCUU
rnacentral:rRNA from 1 species